CAGCAAUAUAAGCAAAAUUUGCUGAAACUCAGACAUCAUUUUCCCCUUGGAGUAUACCUUCUAAAAUCUCAACAUUUUAUAGCAUAAUUUUACAGAUAAAGCACUAAACAUACUUUUUAUGUUUGUUUGCCGUUUGUUUGCCACAUCAAAAAUUAUAAAAAUUUAAUAUGGUCAUAACCAAGUGGCAGGCUUGGCCAAGUGGGAAAGUAAAUACGUUAGUUUUGAGCGCGUCGGUUACGACGUUACAUACAAAGGAUUCUCCUCUUAGUUUGAAAGUCACCAGAACUGCAUUAGGGGCGGACCAUUAGAAAAGUGAUGGGGGGAGGGGUUGGGGCAAAAGCAAAAUAAAAAUCCCAGCAGGGGAAACAGAAAAAAAAAUUCGUGCACCAAAAAAAAAAUAUGACUUUUCAAUACGGAAAAUUAUAAGUUGACAGGGCCUAUCAGAGGUACAGUGUAAGGGUGGCCCCCAAAUUUGGAAAAUAAAAGAAAAAUAAUUUGGAACGUUUUUUUUGAUAUAAGUAAUGAUGUGACAAAAUUUUUC